rnacentral:rRNA from 1 species
CAAUAGCGUAUGUUAAAGUUGUUGCGGCUAAAAAGCUCGUAGUUGGAUUUCUGUUGAGGACGUCCGGUCCGCUCUAUGAGCGUGCAUCUGGUUCGGCCUCGGCAUCCGCUCUGCAUACGUGUCUGCGCUUGAUUGCGUGGCGCGGGGUGGGGCCUUUUACUUUGAGGAAAUUAGAAUGUUCACGGCAGGCAAUCGCCCUGAAUAUAUUAGCAUGGAAUAAUAACAUAGGAUCUUGGUUCUAUUUUGUUGGUUUCUAGGGCUAAGAUAAUGAUUAAUAGGGACAAUUGGGGGCAUUCGUAUUGCGGUGUCAGAGGUGGAAUUCUUGGAUUACUGCACGACGAACUACUGCGAAAGCAUUUGCCAAGGAUGUUUUCAUUGA